rnacentral:lncRNA from 1 species
AUAUAUAUAUAUAUUGAGUAUAAAUUUCUGUGGGGAUGAGGAAUUAUAUAAAGUUGAAGUGCAGUAAGGAUAACAAGAAAUGGAAUAUGCACAUAGUUUACUCUUAAAUUUCAGAUUUUCUGCUUAAAUCCAAUCCCAAAGUAUCAUACACAACAGCCCAUUUUUAACAUAUAAUCACACCCUUAAACUUGAUUAGUAGAGACAAAAAAACUGAUCUAUAGCUUCAUCACCCUUUAAGUAAAAAAAGAAAAGGGAUGAAUAAAAAGUUACAUCAGAUAUUACUAUGCUAAUUAUUUCAACUUAAGAAAACUCAAAACUUUAGGGACCAAAAUACAAUUCUGUGUCCUAGAAGAAAGCUCAUACAAAUCAGAAUCCUCAAAAUCUUCUUCUUCAAAUAUAGUCUCUAGCUGAGGAGAAACUGAAAUCUUAGUGGGUGCAAUUAGAACUGCUGGAACAGCAACUUCCAUACAAGAUUUUUGGUUGCCACUAAACUUGGCCAUUUUUGCAAGAGAAAAAAAGAAGCAAGAAUGUGGCUAUGGAUACAAAUUUCUAGAGAGGUGUUCACUGUUCAGUCUUUGGCUAUUUUUGAAAAGAUAUGUGGGAUUUGGGAAGACUGCAGAGUAUGAGAGACUUAUAUAUAGGUGAAGAAACAAAAAAUUUUGGGUGAGGUGUCGGUCGAAACACAGAGGAAAC